GACGAACGCUGGCGGCGUGCUUAACACAUGCAAGUCGAACGGUGAAGCCCUUCGGGGUGGAUCAGUUGCGAACGGGAGAGUAACACGUGAGCAACCUGCACCUGGCCCUGGGACAACCACUGGAAACGGUAGCUAAUACCGGUAACGGCCCGCCUCGGCAGCGAGAGUGGGUGGAAUGGUUUGCGGCUGGGGAUGGGCUCGCGGCCUAUCAGCUUGUUGGUGAGGUGAAGGCUCACCAAGGCGACGACGGGUAGCCGGCCUGAGAGGGUGACCGGCCACACUGGGACUGAGACACGGCCCAGACUCCUACGGGAGGCAGCAGUGGGGAAUAUUGCACAAUGGGCGAAAGCCUGAUGCAGCGACGCCGCGUGAGGGAUGACGGCCUUCGGGUUGUAAACCUCUUUCAGCUCCGAAGAAGCGAGAGUGACGGUAGGAGCAGAAGAAGCACCGGCUAACUACGUG
rnacentral:rRNA from 1 species